GACGAGGUGGCCGAGUGGUUAAGGCGAUGGACUGCUAAUCCAUUGUGCUUUGUACGCCGUGGUUCGAAUCCUAUCCUCGUCG
rnacentral:tRNA from 1 species